AUGUGCAGAAAAAUGAUAGACCUCUGGGCUGUCCUAAGUCAAGCUUAGUCAUAAUUGGUACAGAUGAGACAUAGGGAAGUGAUGUAAAACUGUCUAUAUAAGGCAUGUCACUUCCUCUCUACUCCUCUUUCCCUGGAGAGGAGACUCUGGCUGAGAGUGUGCUAGGCAUUUUGACAUCUUGGAGUUUUGGUGGGAUGGUCAGAGUUAGUGAGAAAUGAAAAAUGAGACCAAGGGAAGGUCGAGAAGAAGAGAACUAAUGUUCAAAUUUUAGCUCACUCUGAUCUGUUGCCUGACAAAGAGUUCCCACUGCAUGUGCUAAUGGGGGACUAGAGGAGCAGCAAAGGAUGGAAAAUGAGCAUGCGAUUAGCCAGAAUUGAUCAGGAUCAAUCACUGGUGCCCCUUGGGGAGAUACACAUUUCUGUCCUGGAACAGAAUGCUAGUCUUUUUCGAGUUGUUGCUACCUGUCACAUGGAGCUCUUCAAUGAAAGCAAGGAGAUGCUUCAUCAGUCAAAAGCCCUGCUUCACAGGAACCCUAAAGGACAGAUAGCCCAAGUACUUCUGCUCAUACAUGAAUGGCACCCUGCUGCAACUUUUGAAUAGAGAUGAUGCCAUAAGGAAAAACUAUGUCUUCAUUUGAGAAAAGCUUUCAGGACCAAAAGAUAAUCAAAAAGAAUUGAAAGAACAGCUUUUUGAGGCUAGUUUGAGACUAAAGUGAAGAAAUGCAUGAAAACGUUUUUCAGACUUUACUACUACAACUAUCUAGCAGGAGCAAAAUACCCAUAAAUAAAGAAUUACCCUCACCAUCAGGAUGUCUGAAGUUCAAGUACUCUGAAACAUUUUAUGUGCCUCUAAUCAUGGGACUUUACCCCAGUGAUACCUGGAAAAUCUCUAAGAUGCUAUCUUUUAAAAAAGUUGCUUGCUAACACCUGUAUUUGUGGAGAGAGCUUUCUCAGUAACAAAAUCUCUACAUCACUAUAAUCACAGACUCAUACACAUUUUAUUGUUUUAUACUCUUAA